rnacentral:rRNA from 1 species
UACUCCUACGGGAGGCAGCAGUAGGGAAUCUUCGGCAAUGGACGAAAGUCUGACCGAGCAACGCCGCGUGAGUGAAGAAGGUUUUCGGAUCGUAAAACUCUGUUGGUAGAGAAGAACGUUGGUGAGAGUGGAAAGCUCAUCAAGUGACGGUAACUACCCAGAAAGGGACGGCUAACUACGUGCCAGCAGCCGCGGUAAUA